CGAUUCUUAAUAAAUAAACCGACCUGUAUAUUCGAAUCGAGUUCAAACGUGGAAACGAUCAAACGUUUUGCAACGCGUUUACUUAAUUCGACAAAAGCGAUUUUAAUGGAAUUCCGUAGGCAAAUAUAAUAUAGGAACGUUGAUUUUAGAAUCCGGUCGAUUUUUCGAAAAUUAAUAAAUUUGUACGUUUGAAGGUAUUAUAAAUAAUCGCAACGGUAAUUAAAAUUCGUACGGCCUUUCUUUUUCCAUAUCCCUUUUAACGUUUAACGUGCAUA